rnacentral:rRNA from 1 species
GGAAUUUUCCGCAAUGGGCGAAAGCCUGACGGAGCAACGCCGCGUGAGGGAUGAAGGCCUCUGGGCUGUAAACCUCUUUUAUCAAGGAAGAAGAUCUGACGGUACUUGAUGAAUAAGCCACGGCUAAUUCCGUGCCAGCAGCCGCGGUAAUACGGGAGUGGCAAGCGUUAUCCGGAAUUAUUGGGCGUAAAGCGUCCGCAGGCGGUCUUGUAAGUCUGUCGUCAAAGCGUGGAGCUUAACUCCAUUUACGCGAUGGAAACUGCAAGACUAGAGUGUGGUAGGGGCAGAGGGAAUUCCCGGUGUAGCGGUGAAAUGCGUAGAUAUCGGGAAGAACACCAGUGGCGAAGGCCCUCUGCUGGGCCAUAACUGACGCUCAUGGACGAAAGCCAGGGGAGCGAAAGGGAUUAGAUACCCCUGUAGUCCUGGCCGUAAACGAUGAACACUAGGUGUCGGGGGAAUCGACCCCCUCGGUGUCGUAGCCAACGCGUUAAGUGUUCCGCCUGGGGAGUACGCACGCAAGUGUGAAACUCAAAGGAAUUGACGG